CCCUCCUCCACAAGAUCUGUCCCCCAAACAAACAAGACCUCCCACAGAUGCAGUCUGUGGGUCUACUUCUCUCUACCUUCAGCCUAUUCCAAGGUAGCUUUUGCACUGGUUUCCAAAACUACGAGCCACGCCCUCUUUCCAACUAUGAAAUGUGGAGAGCAGAUGCCCUCAGUCUGACCCCAAACGGAGGUCGAGUUCCUCUCUACCUCUGGAGGAUUGGAGCACGCCUGUAAUCUUAGCAUUCCAGGGGUAGAGGCAGGAAAGGAGUUUAAGGACAGCCCUGGCUACAGAGCAAGUUGAGGGCCAGCCUGGGCUACAGAGAGGACCCUGCUGACCCUGUGGCUCCAUUCCAAAAGGCAGCAGUUCCAACUUGACUACUUUGUGCCUCACCGAUACUGCUUUGAUAAAGAGGGCCAGAGGCCACUGGAUUCUAAGUUGUGUGUUUGCCUUUUCCUCCCAUUUGGCACUCGGACAUGAGGGAGGGAGACUGACGCAUCGGUACGUGGGGGAUUGAGGGGCUUCCCAAAGCAAGACUCUGCACAGUAAGCAGGGAAGUCCCAGGCAAACUGGGUUGGGCUGGUCGCUCCCUUUCUAUACAAGAGCUGCUGUUAACCUUCUGUGAGAAUUACUGUGCAUUUCACCACCACUGUCAGGGACCUUGGCUUCUGCUAACUCUGGAAUCCUAAAAGCCAUGAGGCAUGCAGUCAUCAGAAAAGGAGUAUGCCUUGGGAAUUAGAUUCAUGAGGGGCAAAUUCCGCUUGGCCUGGGUAGGUGGGGCAUCCUCAGCCAGGGGACACCUAAGCUCAGCUCCAGUAAGAAAAGGCCCACUGCGCAGGAACAUUGCUGACAAAGAAGAAAGAGAAUGGACGUGCAUGGUGUUCAAGGACCACUGGCCCCCAAUUGCUUUGUGCUGUCUGAAGCGAGAAGGCAGCUAGCAGAGAUUUUUGAGACCGUUUGUAGCACACACAACCAGCUCAGGAGUCUCAGGGGAAAAGGAGCUUUUUCCAAGGUAGACUCCAGUCCUACACAACAUGGAGAUCUUGUUAUUCCAGGCAAGCAAGACCUGGGAACCAGAGCCCCAGCUCUGGAGAUCCAAGGAGACAGUGUCUACCUGGAGAGAGCAUACACUUUGGUCCCUGGAGCUGAGGAAAGAGUGCGUCAGGGAAUCCAGAAAAAAAAGGGAGCCUGCCCAAGGCUAGGUAGAAUGAACCUCAAAGUCACUGAGAGGAGGCUAGAGGUCGAGAAGGCUAUGUGACUGGCUGCACAUCGACCCAGGAGCGGGACUCUUCCCAGAGGAAGACGGAAAACCAAUGCAGCUAGCGAGAACUGUGGGAGCUGGACCAGGGGACGCAGCAACCCUAAAGGAUUAGUUACACACAGAUCCACACCUUGCUAGAUUUAAGAGGCUAGGGAUGCCUUACCGAGAAAUGCAGAGACUCCUGGCUUUGAGAGUUCAGGAUGCCAAGACAGUUAGUCAUUUCUCUGAAUUGGACAUACACACAAGCCACACAACCCCCCUCUACUAAGUGGGCUAAGCUUGGCAUGGAGCAAAUGGAAUAUGGGGUAUGUGUAUGUCACUAUUUACCUGGACCAGAAACCUCCUCCUAGAUGUGGAAGAGUAGUUAGUUCAUAAGCCCAGGAAGUAAUCCACACUUUAUAAGGCUCAGGAAGUUCCUGAAAGCGACGAGAUUUACAAGUAAUCAUUCCUGGAAAAAGCAGACUCCCCAGUCAGUCCAGCUGCCUCCUAGUUCUGUAAAGGGCUCGAGGGAUACAGCUAUCAUGAGUAGCUACGCAGGGGCUUCUCACGCACGAGUAGUCAUGUGGGCUCUUCAGUGACGCAGCUGCCUAUGAAUCAUCCAGGCUCCCGUAAGUGACCCCAAUAAACUCAGUAGUCCACUAGUCUGUGACCAGUGUGCCCUAAGUGGAUCAUGCCUCCCUCAGGAAGUCACACAACUAGCCUUCUGUGCAUGCACUGCAGUCAAUGCAAACCAAGCCUCAAGCCACAGCAAAUCUACAAGCAACACAAAGUUCCUAGCCACAGCCCCAGGUCCCUCUGUUUCACAAACACAGACAGAAUCCCUAGUCUUUCUCUAAGGCGCUUUUCCUAAUCCAGAGAGCAGGAGUUCCCUCCUCCCCAGAAUCCUGAGCCAUGGCUGUUUUGUUCAGACUUCCUUUGUUUGGGGAUGACCCUGACUGGGUUUGGCAGUGCUGGUCACGCCUGUUCUAGACUGAACCCCCAACUGCCCCCCCCCCAAACACACAGGGUUCUGACCAGGAUCGGGAGCUACUGGGUGGGAGAUCUCAGAAGUCAAGCGUUCUCUCACUACAUCCUCUCAAGGACACAAGCUCCUGGCCUGGCUAAGGUCAUGCCCAGCAGGGAUUUGACUAUGAAGUUCCUCCUCCUCUUCCCCUUCCUCCUGUAUUCUUGGAAGCCAAGCGUCACUGACGAGCCUGGAGUUAGAGAGGUGGCCAAUACUAUUCCUGUUUACCAAAUGGUCCCCAGGCUGUGUGGACAGGCUCCCUGGAGGGGUCCAGGUGACACAAAUCACUCUGCUCCUGAAGGUGUGAUGGUGGGAAGGGGUCUGGAGAUGAGGGUCUCUCUGCCCAGCCAUGUUUCUAAGGAGCCCAUUGGACAGGGCAUUGUUUACAUGAAGAACCCCCUGCCCCUCUUUCCCUCCUUCCCGGAAGGACUGGAUCAACAUGGAAAUAAUAUAUACCACUUUGUGGGGUGCCCACUAGCCCUGGUUAUUUAGGGAAAUGUGGCUGAAUCACAGAGAGAACAAGCCAAUGCAGCCUAGGGCUCUUCGAAGACAACCUCCAUGUCUCUAAAGGAGGACAACACAUGGAGAAGAUGGGGACAGAAUCCACAGGAUCCCCACAGUGCCCAUUGGGGUGACCCAUCACAAGGUGCCCAGUCAGGUUCGACCCAGAACCCUGUCACUGUCACAACAGUGAACCCACCUGCAGUCUACUUUAAGUGCCCUGUCAUUUCCCCCACGUUGACAGCAUGGGGCUGUAGAAUGGGCCACCAACAUACACACAGCUAUCAAGAGUGGGACUUUUCCACUUGUGGCCUCGCAGAGCCAGGCAGUUUACCCAAGUGAAAAUUCCUAACCAGAUGAAGAGGCACAAGCACCCUUAGUAUCAAAUGGGGUAAGCCCCCUACAGUGUGAUAGAAAGGAGAGGAGAUGCUGGGGACAACAUGGUGUCCUGAAAACCCUAAAUGCAUGGAUGCAGAGGCCCUGAAUGAGUGGGCAGGGAAGGACUCAAUGCACACUUAUGAGUAUCUACUGUGAUCAGACAGACAGACAGACAGACAGACAGACAGACACACACACACACACACACACACACACACACACACACACACACACACACACAUUCCCACCUUACAGACAACAGAAAAUCCCUCACGAGACUAAGUUCACUGACCAUAUUCUAUAUGCUCUAUAUUCUCAGGGGCCUGGGUGGGAGGAGGAGAGAUAACAAGAAGUGGGACUGGGAGGAUGUGAGGACAUCAACUUGCUAUAACCUAAAACCACCUAAGAGACUGAGGACUGCCAGGAUCAGGUUAGUGUACAGGGAUGUCUGUGGAGGUUUACCGUAAUUAUUGAUGUAGAAAGACCCUGAUCACUGUGGGUGGGACCAUUCCCUAGGCAAGGGGGUUCUGAGCUCUAUGAGACAUGAGGCAGCCAGAUGAAAGCUGGCAAAUAGGCAUCAUUUCUCUCUGUUCUGCCGAUGUGACCAGCAGCUUGAACUCCUACCUUCGCUCUCCCUCGAUGAUGGGCUAUAACUGGAAGUACCGUGGGAGCCCCUUCCUGGCUAAGCUCACUGUCACACUGAGUCUGUGCUAGCUUCCACAGAGAGCUGUACCUCCUGUUUGCUUCACCUAUGUCAGUCACUGCUACUGGGAAGCUGAAUAGUCUUUCACACUGCCAAGGCCUGUAAGACCCUUGUCUUCCUGCUCUGUGUGUGUUUCCCCCUGAGGUGGUCAGAGCUUCUUAUUGACUUUCCUUGCUCUUUCUAUAUGAAGGCUAUUUAACCCAUCCCUUGCCAGCUAUGCUGAACCUCACUGGUAUCGUCAUGGGCCUUCCAGUCUAAGUGACGGAAAGACCAGUUUGUUUGUCCAUUUUCCUGUGCUCAAAGGUCGCUUUGUUAAUGUAGCCAAAUCUGGCCCUGCCUUACUUGUGGCUUCUGUCUCCUCACAUAGAGAAAGCCACGGUUUGGGCUGUUGUUGAUCUGGGAGCUGAUCACCACUAACUUGCUGGAAAGCCAAGAACGAAUGUAAAAGUUUCCGCUCUCCCCCCUCUUCCCUGGCCAGCUAAGGGCCAUGCCUCCCUCUGGACCUUCACUUGGUGGGAUCACCCCCUCUCCCUGGAGCUCCUGCCUGGCACACAGAGAAGGUGACUCACUGCUGAGGCAUGGUGUCCUUGCCCUGGGCCCAUGCCAUAUGGCGAUAGGACACAGUCCUCACGUAGAUGGCAGGGCCCAUGCUGAAGAGCCCUCCUUUCCUGGGGGUUUGGGAGGACGACAAGGUAGCUCCCAGUGGCCCUGCAGAAGACAGGCAUGCAGCCGGAGACAGUGGGGGAGAAGGAGUCAGAAAGUGUCGGGAAAGUCAAACACACUGACCACAGAAGGGAACCUAUGGUCAGAGUCAUGGUGAGGUAGAACCCUCCCUCCCCCUCACUCUCUCUCUGUAGUUGCCAGGAACUUUCCAGACUCUUCAGGAACUCAGCCAUCAGAAGGGGCCAGGCCUCUGAUGGACUUCAGUCUUCUUAUCUGCAAAAUGGGCCUCCCUGUAACUUCCAGCUUUAAAAAGUCAUCUAGCACU
rnacentral:sRNA from 1 species